CAGUCCUGACUCAUACUACACCCCUGCUACCUAGACACUGCCCAGGCCUCAGGGACCAGGAGCUCCUAGAGUUGUGCUCUGGAGCACACAGGGAGUGAAGGCCCCCUGCGCUGGAUCCUAAGGCUGGGCACUUCUGGAACAGGCAAGGAAGGAAGAGACCUUUCAGAACUACUGAUUCCUGCAGACUGAAGAGUACUGCUCCUCUUAUUGCCAGAGUCCUCAAACAGUUGCUCAACUUUGACCUGACUUCCAGUCAGAGGAUGAUCUUUCAUAGCACCUCGGUGUUUGAGGAAGAAAACAGUCAAAUUAACUGCUGGCAUAAGUGAUCUCAACUGUAUUGACUUCUCAAUAUGUUCAUUUUUAAAUUUGUCCCUUCAUCUAUCCCAUUUCUUCAAUCUGGCUUUUAGCCACAAAUUUUCAAGGAGCACAAGAUUUCAGACAGAAUUCAACUGGACCUAAAUAUAUUUCCAGACCAUUUUACAGUAUGACUGCUACACAGCUGAAUAUGACUGCUACAGUUCAGGUGAGACAAUUAAAGAAAGGAUCACAUGAUUUAAAACUUGUUUAACAAAUGUACAACUUCUACAAAAAUACAAAUUGAACAUCAGAAGUCUGUGAAGUGCUAUUUUGCUAUCAAUUAAAGUGCCAGAUAAUGCUAGUGCCCCCACAAAAAAAAAAUUUUUGUAUUAUGUUGGGUGUAUCUACAAAUCACACAUUUGUAAAAACAGAACUGCUUGUUGUUGUUCUACUAUUAUGCCCCUGUUAUUUCCAGUACUUUCAUGUGAGACAAUAAAUAUAAGUGUGCACUAGUUAAACUAGAAUACAGCUGUGGAUUAAUAAACUACCAUAUAUAUCA